GGGAGGGAAGCACUCCCUCUCUUCUUUACGCGGGCAAACCAUCAGUUAGAAAGAGCGAUCGCUAAGUUGGAUUACAGCAGAAAACCAAGAAUUCCCUCUCUCUCUCCCCACUUCAACCGGCGGCCUUUGAGAAAUCGGAAGAAGAAGAAGAAGAAGGAUGGUGGGAAGGCGGAAGAUUAGCAUGGGAUUCAUCUCCGAUCAAAGGAAGCGCCAUGUCACCUUCUCCAAUAGAAGAAAGGGCCUUUUCAAGAAGGCCCAAGAGCUCGGCUGUCUCACAGGCGCAACCAUCGGCAUUGUCUGCUUCGCUAGCGAAGCAGGGAAUGCUUUUACAUUCUCCUACCCUCCACCUGCGGACGAUCAAGAAGGAGAUGAUGGACACAGGCAACUAUUCUCCGUCAUGCAGCAAUACUGUGAGCAAGAGGUGGGACUGCGAGCACCAUCCCGCACCAUCACAGCUACUCGUUCGCAACCACUGAAGACAAGACCAUCAGUGGUGGAAUCAAAAUCGAUUUCAGAGCAGAACAGUGGCACCGGCCUCCCACAAUCAGUGGGCGGAAAUGACUUGUGGGAAUCGUUGGAAUCGCUGCAUGGUGCCGUCGUUAGUUUCUCUGAUGCGGGCAGCUACGAUUUUGGAUCAUCCUCAAAUUGCGUGGUAGAAGGUGAGCAAGAGGUGGGGCUGCAGAUGCAGAGCAAGGACAAGGCAGAGACACCUCUUCCGGACUCGUCCCUUGGCCAAUCGAUGGUGGAAGAACAGCAGUCGGUGGACUCAACCCUCUAUGGUUCUGUGAGUUGCAGCAGUUUUUUCGAUUCCUCCAGCUUGCCUCCACCGCCAUCGAUUGACGCUCUCCUUUCAUCGCCACCACCGUCAUUCGGCUGGAACGACGGUCUUGAUAGUUUGGAGAUGGACGAGUUCGAAGCUGGUUGAAGUUCAAAAGACAGAACUUGCUCUGGUGGAUGGUAAAUUUAGUUGCUUUACAGCAAGUCAGCAGGAUCCUGAGCUUACUGCGUCACAGAUGCCAUCCUAGCUUCGGGUGGAUAUUGUAUCAGCUCAAUGAAAAUGAAGAAAAACUCACUUUGAUGAUUGACUUAUAUAUAAACCUGCUAUUAAAGUGCUGGUGGACUGGUGGGUGCUAGAGGCUGCAGAGCUCAUCUUAAUUUGACGUCAUCAGCCUUGAUGGUGGCAUUCCAGAGUGUUGUGCAGGCAAUGUACUUUGGAACCUCAGAGACACCUCAUUUUGUCUGUGUUCCUUUUUUUUCUCUCUAUAUACUUCUUUUUUCCUGUUCUAAGGAUGAUGUACAUGUUUUGAGGUGGCACUUUUACUUUUAAAAUCCCUAAUUCCUUUCAGGUGGAUAUUGUAUCAGCUCAAUGAAAAUGGAAAGAAACUCACUUUGAUUAUUGACUUAUAUAUAAACCUACUAUUCAAGUGCUGGUGGACUUGUGGGAGCAAGAGGCUGCAGAGGUCAUCUUAAUUUGACGUCAUCAGCCUUGAUGGUGGCACUCCAGACGUCUGGGUCCUGCUGUCCAUGACCAGUUGUUUAUAGUGGAUAUUGUAUCAGCUCAAUGAAAAUGAAGAAAAACUCACUUUGAUGAUUGACUUAUAUAUAAACCUGCUAUUAAAGUGCUGGUGGACUGGUGGGUGCAAGAGGGGAGCUCAUCUUAAUUUGACGUCAUCGUCCUUGAUGGUGGCACUCCAGAGGUCUGUGUCCUGCUGUUCAUGACCAUUUCUCUAUAUGUUGUCAGCUUUUACUUGUCUCCUCAAAAGGAUCUCUAUAUUCCCUGUUUCACUCUACUUGUUUUCCAUGCAUGCACAGGCUUUUAUGUUGCAUCUCUUUUUCAUGCAAAAUUUCAUCUUAUUUGGCUUAUGAAAUGAAUCAGCUUUAGUCUUAUACAAACAAAUUAAGAAACACUGGCAAGUCAGUUUUCUAGGUGGCCAUGUUCUUGUGAAAAAAAAGAAGGGUCGCAGCCCUUUAGCAACUUCUCUUGGUAUUUCAAAAUCCCAAAAUAUCGUAAGAAGUGAUUCCAUGUACACAUUUUUGUGAGGCCAUGCAAGGUACUUUAUCUUUUGAAGCCACAUGAUAUGCAAAAAUUUCUUGGUUCAUGAAAAGGAAAAUCUCUUUGUUAUUUUCGUUGUUAGGAGCUAAAGAUCGAAGUAGAAGAUCUUUUGGUGUUCUCAUUUUUUGAAAUAAUGUUCUCUCUGAUAUAGAGAUGGAUGACGGUAUGAUAUACUCUAGUCCAUUAAUGCAGGCCUAAAAUUAUUAUGAAGAAGAAUAAUAGAAGCUAAUCUCUUUUUACCUUCAUGU